GCGAGUAUGGCCCUCACGGGUCUAAUCCACCAUAAACACCUUUGUGAACCAGUCAGGGGGACUCGGCCGUGAAAGCCCAGGCGAUUAGCGGAGGGGCCCUCCUUUGCAAACCCGUUUAGAAGUCUUGAAAGUACUUUUGUAUAAUCUAGUA
rnacentral:misc_RNA from 1 species